rnacentral:rRNA from 1 species
UACACAUGCAAGUCGAACGGUGAAGCCCNGCUUGCGGGGUGGAUCAGUGGCGAACGGGUGAGUAACACGUGAGCAACCUGCCCCUGACUCUGGGAUAAGCGCUGGAAACGGCGUCUAAUACUGGAUACGAGACGUGAUCGCAUGGUCAACGUUUGGAAAGAUUUUUCGGUUGGGGAUGGGCUCGCGGCCUAUCAGCUUGUUGGUGAGGUAAUGGCUCACCAAGGCGUCGACGGGUAGCCGGCCUGAGAGGGUGACCGGCCACACUGGGACUGAGACACGGCCCAGACUCCUACGGGAGGCAGCAGUGGGGAAUAUUGCACAAUGGGCGCAAGCCUGAUGCAGCAACGCCGCGUGAGGGAUGACGGCCUUCGGGUUGUAAACCUCUUUUAGCAGGGAAGAAGCGAGAGUGACGGUACCUGCAGAAAAAGCACCGGCUAACUACGUGCCAGCAGCCGCGGUAAUACGUAGGGUGCAAGCGUUAUCCGGAAUUAUUGGGCGUAAAGAGCUCGUAGGCGGUUUGUCGCGUCUGCUGUGAAAUCUGGGGGCUCAACCCCCAGCCUGCAGUGGGUACGGGCAGACUAGAGUGCGGUAGGGGAGAUUGGAAUUCCUGGUGUAGCGGUGGAAUGCGCAGAUAUCA